rnacentral:rRNA from 1 species
GGGUUGUGAGGUUAAGCGACUAAGCGUACACAGUGGAUGCCCUGGCAGUCAGAGGCGAUGAAGGGCGUGCUAAUCUGCGAUAAGCGCCGGUAAGGUGAUAUGAACCGUUAUAACCGGCGAUACCCGAAUGGGGAAACCCAGUGUGAUUCGUCACACUAUCAUUACGUGAAUACAUAGCGUAAUGAAGCGAACCGGGGGAACUGAAACAUCUAAGUACCCCGAGGAAAAGAAAUCAACCGAGAUUCCCCCAGUAGCGGCGAGCGAACGGGGAGGAGCCCAGAGCCUGAAUCAGCAUGUGUGUUAGUGGAAGCGUCUGGAAAGGCGCGCGAUACAGGGUGACAGCCCCGUACACAAAAGCGCAUGUGUUGUGAGCUCGAUGAGUAGGGCGGGACACGUGGUAUCCUGUCUGAAUAUGGGGGGACCAUCCUCCAAGGCUAAAUACUCCUGACUGACCGAUAGUGAACCAGUACCGUGAGGGAAAGGCGAAAAGAACCCCGGCGAGGGGAGUGAAAAAGAACCUGAAACCGUGUACGUACAAGCAGUGGGAGCACCCUUUGGGG